rnacentral:rRNA from 1 species
GAUGAACGCUAGCGGCAGGCUUAAUACAUGCAAGUCAAGGGGUAGCAAUACAACCGGCGCACGGGUGAGUAACGCGUACACAACAUACCAUAUACUGGGGUAUAGCUUUGGGAAACUGAAGGUAAUCCCCCAUAACAUUGCGAGAGGGCAUCUGAUUGCAAUUAAAGUUUCGGCGGUAUAUGAUUGGUGUGCGUUUGAUUAGCUAGUUGGUAGGGUAACGGCCUACCAAGGCGACGAUCAAUAGCUGGCGUGAGAGCGCGACCAGCCACACUGGAACUGAGACACGGUCCAGACUCCUACGGGAGGCAGCAGUAGGGAAUAUUGGACAAUGGAGGAAACUCUGAUCCAGCCAUGCCGCGUGAUAGAUGAAGGCCCUCUGGGUUGUAAAUAUCUUUUAUCUGGGAAGAACAAUCUUAUUCUUAAGAUCUUGACGGUUACCAGAGGAAUAAGCACCGGGCUAACUCCGUGCCAGCAGCCGCGGUAA